CUUACCUAAUGGGACACACAUAUCAGAGUGGGUGUUUGAAGCCAAUAACACACUGUGUAUUAACCCAACUACUGCCCCUCCCACUAGUUUGGCCUAUUUGCCACUAAUAGUUGGUGUAUCAUCAGCCCUGGUCAUUGUCUUGGUUGUGGUCUUAUCAGUCAUCUGGGCUCUGAAGAAAAAGCAAAGAAACAACAAACCUAAAGAGGAGCAGCAGCAGAGGAGGCAGGCUGAGCAAAGGCCAAAUGUGGAGGUGGAGUAUGGUCGAGUCAAGCCACGACCCCGGAAGACUGAACCAAUAGAAGAUGAUUGUGUUUAUGCAAAUGUCCAUUAAGACAGUUGAUUUAAAGUUUUACUUUGAAAAAAAGAGGAAAAUGUUUGAGACUCUUAAUAUAAAUGUCACUGUGAUAAGAAAAUAAAAUGAAAGACAGACAGAGGCCUCCACCAUAUAAAGAGACCAGACAUGCAUUUAUUUGAGCUGUAGGAGGAAGCUGGGCCACCUGGAUAAACCCACACAGUCAGUAGGAGAAAAUGAAAUCUCCUCUCAAGAGACAGGAUAAAGUCUAGAAACUUCAUUUUCCUUCUCUGUCUUGUUUUGUUUUGUUUCUUAUUUUUAAUUAUUGAGUUAACUUUAUAAUCAAACAUUGUACAUUUCAUGACUGCUGAACAUUACUUUGACUUUGAAUAAAACAUCUUGGCUCCUGUUGGACGGUCA